rnacentral:rRNA from 1 species
GAUGAACGCUGGCGGCGUGCCUAAUACAUGCAAGUCGAGCGAACAGAUGAGGAGCUUGCUCCUCUGACGUUAGCGGCGGACGGGUGAGUAACACGUGGAUAACCUACCUAUAAGACUGGGAUAACUUCGGGAAACCGGAGCUAAUACCGGAUAAUAUAUUGAACCGCAUGGUUCAAUAGUGAAAGACGGUUUUGCUGUCACUUAUAGAUGGAUCCGCGCCGCAUUAGCUAGUUGGUAAGGUAACGGCUUACUAAGGCAACGAUGCGUAGCCGACCUGAGAGGGUGAUCGGCCACACUGGAACUGAGACACGGUCCAGACUCCUACGGGAGGCAGCAGUAGGGAAUCUUCCGCAAUGGGCGAAAGCCUGACGGAGCAACGCCGCGUGAGUGAUGAAGGUCUUCGGAUCGUAAAACUCUGUUAUUAGGGAAGAACAAAUGUGUAAGUAACUAUGCACGUCUUGACGGUACCUAAUCAGAAAGCCACGGCUAACUUCGUG